UAUAGACACGCAUCAGAUGGGUCAUGGUCCCCCGGUUUUAGGAUUUAGGAGUGCCCCUCUGGAGAGCAAACCAUCUGCCCCAGGCGUCGAUGGUCGCCUAGUCCCAGUUCGUCGGAACUCGGAAACCACGUCGUCCACCUCCCACCACUCCACCUCCCUCCCUACCCACUCCUGUUCCCAACCGCCGCUCUAUCUCCUUCUCGCCGACGCCGCCACCGCGCCCAACGACGCCGCCGUUCGGCGCAAGAUUGUUGUCCCGAUGGCGGGGGUUGAGCCGCCCGCGUCGACCCCGAUCGGCGGGCGGUUGGCGGCCCGAGGGCUGAGGCCGAGGAGGGUCUCCGCCAAGCGCUCCUGGCCGCCCGGCUGCGGUCGCUUCCCCGCUGCCCCGCCUGCCCCGGAGGCCGGCGACGGCGAGACGGGCGCAGCCGUUGUCGUCGAGGGCACAGCGGAGGAGGCGACCGGCCGCUCGGGCGUUUCUUCCGUGGUGUGCAACGGCGACCUCCCACCUACCCUCGAGGCCGGCGACGGCGAGAAGGGCGCCACCGUUGUCGUCAAGGGCACAGCGGAGGAGACGACCGGCCGCUCGGGCGUUUCUUCCGCUGUGUGCAACGGAGACCUCCCACAUACCCCCGAGGCUGGCGACGGCGAGAAGGGCGCCGCCGUUGUCUUCGAGGGCACAGCGGUGUGCAACGGCGAUCUCCCACCCACCCCCGAGGCUGGCGACGGCGAGGAGAUCCUCGAGGGCAAAGCGGAGGAGGCAGCCGGCCACGCGGGCGUUUCCUCCUUGUCAUGCAACGGCAGCCUACCGCACACCAUGCCUAAGCCGGAAGCUGAGGGGGUGGUUGGCGAGAUGAAGGAGGGUGGAGAGGCACAAUUACCUGGCGGUUCUGAUGUGCGUCCAUUGAGUGACCAGGUAGAGAACAUGGCGAUUGACGUGAUGCCGCUGGCGUUCGCUGUCCGGCAGAGUUUUACUGUUGCUGCUGUGAAUGGUUCAGUUGAGAACGGGGUGGAUGGGAUCGAGCCGUUGCCGAUGGAGGGGAGGGAAGGCCUGGGCAGUGGUCAAUUGGUCAAGGAGGAGGAUGUGCCUAGCAAUGGGGAUGGCAGGGUGAUGGGAAGCAGAGAUGCACAAUUGGAGAGGGAAGAGGAAGGGCAUGUUGCAGUCAGAAAGAAGAGGUGGUUGACGUCUGUUGUGAAUCCACCUCCCAAGAGAAGGGCCAUCUCAGCCAUUCGCAAAUUUCCACCUGGCUGUGGGAGGGCUGCUGUUACUGGCACUGGCAGUAGAGUCGAGGAAGGGUUGGUAUUGGAAGCCACACCUAUCAGUUUCGCUAGUGGGAGUGCCUCUGUGGCGGAUGACUCGUCCAUGGUUCCAGUUCCAAGUCAUGGUGCUUCUUCAGUGUCCGUGCGAGAUAUCUCUAAUGAAACAGAAGAUAAGAGUGCGGAGGGGAAGCAUGUAGCCAAGGACGGUGAGCUGAGAGACAAAUGCGAAGGAAGCUCGCUAGAAGGUACUCCUAAGACUUAUAAGGGAGGUGGUGUUCUUGUUGAUGCAAAGACAAAUGGCAAGCGACCAAAGAGUAUCACCAUUGAUGAGACAUUGCUAGAUGAUGUAAGGGUCUCCGGAGACGGCACAUCAAGAAACAAGACUCCAAGCACUCAGAGAGGAGUCAGGCACUCAAAUAUUAACAUGAAGCAUGGCUUGGCUGGUUCUAAGUUGAAGAGUGAUGGCAUAGGCAAUGACUCUUCGAAUAGGUCUUCUAAGGAGAAGUGUGCAAAUCAUGUUGUGACCGAUCAGAUUGAAGAAGAUGAUGAUUUGAACUUUGUUACUGACAUGCCAAUUGUACAAGCAUUGAUGGCACCAGACAUAUGUCCUUGGACACAAGGAAGGAAGUCUAUUACUGGUGUUUCUAAGUCUAGUACUCCUAGGAGCAAGAACAAGCUAAAGAAAAAGGUUUCUACGCCAAGUGAAAAGUUGCCCCCCAAAGUGAGCCCUUCUACAUCAACCAAGCAUGAGACAAUCGAGGACAAAGAAUAUCCUGAAAAAUUGCCCCCUAAAGUGAGCCCUUCUACAUCAACCAAGCAUGAGACAAUCGAGGACAAAGAAUAUCCUUGCUCGGAAGAUGAUGGCGACUCUAUGGCAUUAGGUGUGGUUGAAAGAAAGAAUGAAUUGUGUGUCACCCUCCCUCCUUGUGCUCCGUCUGGGGACCAGAGUGUUGAUGCUCGGAGCAAAGUCAAGAAGUUGCUCAAAUUGUUCCAAUUGAUUUGUCGGAAGCUUGUACAAACAGAGGAGCAACAGGCACGUAGGGUUGGAAGAAUUGACAUUGAGGCCGUCAAUGCUAUAAAGAGCAACUGUGAGUAUUACUCUAAGCCCGGGCCUAUCGUUGGCAAUGUUCCCGGUGUUGAUGUUGGUGAUGAAUUUCACUUUAGAGUCGAGUUGUCAAUUAUUGGACUACACCGGCCAUACCAAGGAGGUAUUGACACUACCAAGGUGAAUGGAAUACCCAUUGCAAUAAGCAUAGUCGCUUCCGGAGGGUAUCCUGACGAAUUGCCGAGCUCAGACGAGUUAAUAUAUACUGGCUCGGGUGGUAAGGCUAUUGGAAAGAAGGAGGCGGAAGAUCAAAAGCUUGAGCGUGGCAACCUUGCUUUGAAGAAUUGCAUCAAAACUCAAACUCCGGUCCGAGUGACUCAUGGGUUCAAAGGUCAAAGUAGAGGUGAAGUCGGGCAUUCCAAAUCGAAGCAAGUUUCAACAUACACUUAUGAUGGGUUGUAUGUGGUGGUGGAAUGUUGGCAAGAAGGAGCAAAGGGCUCUAUGGUCUUUAAGUACAAGUUAAAAAGGAUACCGGGUCAACCUGAAUUAGCUUUACACAUAGUCAAGGAGACAAGGAAGUCCAAAAUUCGCAAAGGUCUUUGUUGUCCUGAUAUAUCUGAAGGAAAAGAGAGGAUUCCCAUAUGUGUGAUCAACACAAUUGAUGACUUGCAGCCAACACCAUUUAAGUAUAUUACCAAAGUCAUAUAUCCUCCUCCGUAUGCAAAAGAUCCCCCGGAAGGCUGUGACUGCACUAACGGCUGCUCGGACUCUAAUAGAUGUGCUUGUGCAGUGAAGAAUGGAGGGGAAAUCCCAUUCAACUUUAAUGGUGCAAUUGUUCAUGCAAAGCCCCUCAUAUAUGAAUGUGGCCCAUCAUGCAGGUGCCCUCCAACAUGCCACAAUAGGGUGAGCCAGCAUGGCGUCAAAAUUCCGCUGGAAAUAUUCAAGACAGGGGAGACUGGUUGGGGUGUAAGAUCUCUCAGUUCGAUCUCCUCAGGCAGUUUCAUAUGCGAGUAUGGAGGUGAGCUGUUACAAGAUACAGAAGCUGAAAAGAGAGAGAAUGAUGAGUACCUGUUUGAUAUUGGUCAUAAUUAUGACGAUGAAGAACUUUGGAAGGGGCUUCCAUCAAUGAUUCCGGGUUUAGAAUCUGCUACCCCUGAGACAAUGGAGGAUGAUGUAGGCUUCACAAUAGAUGCCGCAAUAUCUGGUAAUGUUGGAAGAUUCAUCAACCACAGUUGCUCUCCAAACCUGUAUGCACAAAAUGUCCUCUGGGACCAUGAUGACAAGAGGAUGCCACACAUUAUGUUUUUUGCUGCGGAGAAUAUUCCUCCACUUCAAGAGCUGACUUACCACUAUAAUUAUACCAUAGGUCAAGUUCGUGACAAGAAUGGUGUGGAGAAGGAAAAAAAGUGCUUCUGUGGUUCUUCCGAUUGCUGUGGCAGGCUUUACUAAGUUAUAUUGGUGACUACUGAUGCUAAUGUUCAUAUUCAGUGGAAGGCAGUCCUAUCAUGACCGUGCUCAUUUGCUUCUCUUCUGGUUUACCUUGCACUCACUCAUGACACGCAGUGUCUAGUCUCUGUGCCACACAACUGUUACUUGUUACUGCAUUUUGAAGAGCAUCUCAGUUCCAGUACAGCUCACCCUUUUUGGUGCGUGAGACUUUGAACGAGUAAUCUGAAAUGUCCAGGAACAACAAAUGGUGAUGCCAGGCCAUCGUGAGUCAAACCUGCAGAAUGAAUUCAGCAGAUACAUGCCUACUGCUGCUGCUGCACUUGGUGUGGUAUGAAUUGGCGGACUGACUGUUCUGGCUGGUUGCAAAGGGCGAACCGAGCUAGGUUUCUUCAGUUUUUUAUAUCGUAGCAGAAGCAUCAAGCCAAGCUACUGUCCAAUCUUCUUGCCAGGCAAUACUGCUUUUGCCAGCUGUUGUGGUUGUAACCGAAUUACCUAAGUCAGUUUAGGUUGCCUAACUUAUUUACAGUGACAAUUUUGUAGAUACUGCUUUUAUUUUCAAGCCAGUAUGGUCGCACAUGUCCUUUCCAAGCACGGUCAAGGCCCUCAUCAAUCUUCUUCAGUAGCCUUCUCAUGCCUUUUGACUACAUAUGGCAACUGGAUGUUCUGGGAUAAAUUUAGUCGGCUGGAGUUGAAUAUAUGGUUCUCUUUGCUUAAGAUAA